CCAUGUAUAUAAAAUUUUAUAAAAUGAAAUGAACCUACACCGACCAAAAGCAGAGCCAUGGUGGCCUGAGUGAGGCGUUAGGGGGCUGUAGGAGGGAGGGAGGAGAUUCGGGGGGAGGGUGGAUUAUGUUCAUUAUCUCCAGGCAAUGGUUCAUGGAAAUACAUACACAAACUUAUCAAAGUGCACGCUUUGAACAGGCGCAGUUUAUUGUACGUCAAUUAAACCUCAAAAUGUUGUAAAACAAGAAAGAAGAAAAACCGUUGUCUCCAGCACUCCCAGCAAUAGCACUGCAGCCACCGCCUAAGGAUGGAGGUCAGAGGGAAGGGGGAGGCGCUGAGGGGUCGCACAGCCCACACUCCCAGGGAGCCACGCAAGCCGACGGCCGCCCACACGCACGCCCAGGACUGGAAGCGAGCAGCAGGCUGCGGGCCCCCCUCCCCAGCCCCUCCUUCACCAGGCCGCUGUGCUUGCCUGGCCAGAGGGGAAAGCUAGGGGAAACCAGGUCAUUAGAAUGCUUGGAGCAGGAGCCCAAGAGAGUUACCGCAAAUGUCAGAAAACAUUUGGUCCAACAGAUGCUGUAAAACCCCUUGGAGUGAUCGCCUUUCUUCGCUGCACUGGUCUCUGCUGCCCUUCUGCAGCUGGAUCUUUCCACAGCACCCAGGGACUCCGCUCAGUUGCCAUCCUACAGCCAGAGCGGGGGCUCUUGGGAGAGGGGACCAGGACCCCUCCAGUAUAACUGGUGAAUAGACUUGUUGGAUUCACAAGGGUGUGAUUUUUUUCCUUUAAAUACAAUUAUUUAUUAAAUGUAAUCACAUUUCCCACGUUCAUAAGGCUUUUUAAAUGAAUACAUCUUUUAAAAUUGCGGUGAGGCACAGGGAACUAUAUCCAGUCUCUCGGGACAGACCAUGAUGGACGAGAGAAUAAGAAAGGCAGUGUAUACAUGUGUGUGACCGGGUCACUCUGCGUGCAACAGAAAAGGGCACAACAUUGCAGAUCAACCACACUUUAACAAAAUGCUAACUCAAACUGCUGUGAGGGUCGACUUGACCGGAAGGGGAGACAAUUUUACAGCGUAUUCCUGAAACCCCCCCCCGCCAAAGGGCUUGGGGAUCGUUUAUCCUGUUGAGCUCAGAAAACUCUCCUGCACCCGGCCAGCCUGGUUUGUAGCAAAACUGAGUUCAGCUCACGCUUUGGCAGAGUAAAGGACUCAGAAAUUCCAGUCUGCUGUGCAUGAGUUUAAAAUGAUCGUGCAGGGAAUUCCCGUCAUGGCUCAGUGGUUAACGAACCCAACUAGGAACCAAGAGGUUGAGGGUUCGAUCCCUGGCCUUGCUCAGUGGGUUAAGGAUCCGGCGUUGCCCUGAGCUGUGGUAUAGGCUGCAGACACGGCUCGGAUCCUGCGUUGCUGUGGCUCUGGCGUAGGCCGGCAGCUACAGCUCCGAUUGGACCCCUAGCCUGGGAACCUCCAUAUGCUUCGGGAGCGGCCCUAGAAAAGGCAAAAAGACAAAAAAACAAAACAAAACAAAACAAAAAAAAACCCCCAAAAAACCCCCAUAAAAUAAAUAAAUAAAUAAAAUAAAAUAAAAUGAUCGUGGAGUUCCCUGAGGGCUCAGCAAGUUAAGGAUCCGGCCUUGUCACUACUGUGGCUCAGGUCACGGCUGUGGGGCAGGUUCGAUCCCUGGUCUGGGAACUUCCACGUGUCGUGGGUGAGGCCAAAAUAAAAUAAAAUAAUAAAACAAAACAAAAUAAAAUAAAAAACGGUUCGAGCCUAUGUCAUUGUAGGCCUUGGGGGUUCUGCUGGGAUCCAGAUGUUCAGGUCAACAAGCCUUGAGGAAUUCCUCUUGUCUUGUGAGCUAGAUUCCCCAAAUCCCAGAACAGACUCUCUGUCCCCCACCCCUCCAUCCUGCCCUCCUUCUCUGCAAAGUGCAUCUACUAACCUGCCCGCCUCCUGCCCUGCUCGACAUGAAACAUUAAUAAUGACAAGACGGACGUGAGGACACUAGGAGGCCAGGCACGAUGGGAACCCUUUGUGCACAUUACCCAGCAAAGGCUCACAGCAACCCUCUCAACAGUAGCAUGAUGAGUCCCGUUUGACAAAUGAGGAAACUGAGGCAAAAAGAGGUGAGAGGGGGCUACAGAGUUUCCAGCUUUUGGUUCUGGGUUUUGUUUUUGUUGUUGUUGUUUUAGUUUUAAGUUUUUUCAUCAUGGUACAUCACACAAACAUAGAAUUUACUCCCCUAGCCAUUUUUUAAAUGUUCCAUAGUGUUUAGUCCUAUUGCUGCGCAUCCAUCUCCCGAACUCUUUUCACCUGCAAAACGGUAGCUCUACACCCAUUAACAAUGGCUCCCCACUUUCCGCUCUGCCUCCCCGCCCCCCAACACUCACCAUCCCACCUUCUGUCUCUGUGGUCUUGACCUCUGUCGAUCCCCCGUGUAAGCAGACUCAUACAGUACUGGUCCUUGUGACAGGCUUACUUCACUAGUAUAAGGCCCUCGAGGUGCAUCCACGUUGUAGCGUGUGACAGAUUUUCCCAGGGUUUCAGUUUUGCAGGAUGAAAAGAAUUCUGGAGAUGGGUGGUGGUGAUUUGCACAACAGUGUGAAUGUUCUUAAUGCCACUGAAUGCAACCCUUAAAAAUGGUUAAAAUGGUCAAUUUGAAGUGACAUGUGCCUUUUUUAUUUUUCUUUCCUUUUCAGGGCUGCACCUGCAGCAUAUAGAAGUUCCCAGGCUAGGGGCUGAAUCAGAGCUGCAGCUGCCAGCUACAGCCACAGCAACAGCAACAUGGGAUCCGAGCAGGAUCUGCAUCCUACACCACAGCCUGAGGCAACAACGUAUCCCUUAACUUACUGAGCAAGGUCAGGGAUCGAACCUGCAUCCUCAUGGAUACCAGUCGGGUUCUUAACCCCCUGCGCCACCACAGGAGCUCCCAAGUUAUGUGUGUUUGACCACAACUAAAACAACAACAACAAAAACUGGUGAGGCAAUGUGCCCAAAGGCGCCAAUAUGUGGCAGAUCCCCAACCAAGAGGGCCGGUGCCAGUGUCAGGCUGCUCAGCACUGUGUCUAACUACCACUCAGAACAGAAGUGACACAUAUAAAGCCCAAAGCCCCGAGUCCUCUCUGGGCCAUCACACAAAUGUGUGCAAGGCUGCAGAUAGAGGCUUGGGGUUUAUUACCAGCAGGACUGGGCUGUCCACGCAGAGCCGUUGGUGGAAGAGGGCAUCAGAUCCACCAGGAUGCUGGGGCCUUUGGAUCAGACAGAAGGCAGAGAGGAAAGUGCCAGUGUGUUAGGAGGUGUGAGAACCUGAAGGCUGGAGCCACAAUGGCAGAGCCUGGGAGUGGCUGGCGACGGAGGG
ensembl:lncRNA